UCCCACCCUGCUGGCCCAGCAACUGGGAAGUGGCUCUUCGGGACUUUCGGGUGACAGCACCCAUCCUCACGGGGAGCAGCUCUGCUGACCUCAGCUGAGUCUCCAGAGGAGCCACAUCCCAGGCCUGGACUUCCCCUCUGACUUCCCCUCAGUCCUGGCGCAGAAUUCCCCAUCAGGGGUUGGGGCGGGGGCGGGGUCGCCAGGGCCCACUAGCCCCGCCUCCUGCCACUUCUGCAGACCAACCACCACCCAGGUGACCAUAAUGACCAUCAGGCUGCUCCCGCUCCUGGGCCAACCAGGGGCUUAAGAGCAGAGUCACCCGGGGAGGGGAGGGGCUGGUUCAAAGCAGACUCACAGUACAAGGGAGUAAGAGAUGAACAAAUAAAUGUCCUUCCUCCGUCUCUGGGCCUCUAGGGCAGAGGCAGCGCCCCCCUCUCUCCACCUAGUCUCUGGCCUCCACCUGCCCACCCAACCCUCUGGAAGGGGCCUGGGAAAAGAUUGUUUCUAACACACAGGUUCUCAGAGAGGCCCGAGUGCCAGGAUGGAAUGUUGGCGACACCAUGGCAGCCCCCCAUCCCAGCUCAUUCAUAGCCGCAGUGACCUCAGACGCAGGCUGGUGAGCUCUGAUCAGCAGCAUUCUCCAGGGAUGGAGCCCGGGACCUGCCCAGGGAAGCAGCUAUUUCCAGCUUCCAGAAACAGGAAGUGAGUCAGCCUGAGGAGCCUGCAGGAUGCGGCACCCGAGGUGCAACCGAUGCGCCUGGACGGAAGCACCAGCCUCCUUCCUGGCAGCAGGAAGGAGGCUGGAGGAAGAGGAUAGGAGGGGAGACCCUCUCCUCAGCACAGCAGGCAGCGGACUCUCCC